AAUCGUGACUCGGGUUACCGCGGCUGCUGGCACGGAGUUAGCCGGUGCUUCUUCUGUGAGUGAUGUCCUUCCUGCCGGCUAUUAACCCGCAGGCCUUCUUCCUCACUGAAAGUGCUUUACAACCCGAAGGCCUUCUUCACACACGCGGCAUGGCUGGAUCAGGGUUGCCCCCAUUGUCCAAUAUUCCCCACUGCUGCCUCCCGUAGGAGUCUGGGCCGUGUCUCAGUCCCAGUGUGGCUGAUCAUCCUCUCAGACCAGCUACGGAUCGUCGCCUUGGUGAGCCGUUACCUCACCAACCAGCUAAUCCGACAUAGGCUCAUCCGAUAGCGCGAGGCCCGAAGGUCCCCCGCUUUCCCCCGUAGGGCGUAUGCGGUAUUAGCCUGGGUUUCCCCAGGUUACUCCCCACUACCGGGCAGAUUCCUAUGCAUUACUCACCCGUCCGCCGCUCGCCACCAGGGAGCAAGCUCCCCGUGCUGCCGCUCGACUUGCAUGUGUUAGGCCUGCCGCCAGCGUUCAAU
rnacentral:rRNA from 1 species